rnacentral:hammerhead_ribozyme from 1 species
GCCAGCUGACGAGUCUCAAAUGGGACGAAAAGACACGCGUCCUGGAC